rnacentral:rRNA from 1 species
AUGCGUAUACAUGCAGUCGAGCGAACGGAUAAGGAGCUUGCUCCUUUGAAGUUAGCGGCGGACGGGUGAGUAACACGUGGGUAACCUACCUAUAAGACUGGAAUAACUUCGGGAAACCGGAGCUAAUGCCGGAUAACAUAUAGAACCGCAUGGUUCUAUAGUGAAAGAUGGUUUUGCUAUCACUUAUAGAUGGACCCGCGCCGUAUUAGCUAGUUGGUAAGGUAAUGGCUUACCAAGGCGACGAUACGUAGCCGACCUGAGAGGGUGAUCGGCCACACUGGAACUGAGACACGGUCCAGACUCCUACGGGAGGCAGCAGUAGGGAAUCUUCCGCAAUGGGCGAAAGCCUGACGGAGCAACGCCGCGUGAGUGAUGAAGGUUUUCGGAUCGUAAAACUCUGUUAUUAGGGAAGAACAAAUGCGUAAGUAACUGUGCGCAUCUUGACGGUACCUAAUCAGAAAGCCACGGCUAACUACGUGCCAGCAGCCGCGGUAAUACGUAGGUGGCAAGCGUUAUCCGGAAUUAUUGGGCGUAAAGCGCGCGUAGGCGGUUUCUUAAGUCUGAUGUGAAAGCCCACGGCUCAACCGUGGAGGGUCAUUGGAAACUGGGAAACUUGAGUGCAGAAGAGGAAAGUGGAAUUCCAUGUGUAGCGGUGAAAUGCGCAGAGAUAUGGAGGAACACCAGUGGCGAAGGCGACUUUCUGGUCUGUAACUGACGCUGAUGUGCGAAAGCGUGGGGAUCAAACAGGAUUAGAUACCCUGGUAGUCCACGCCGUAAACGAUGAGUGCUAAGUGUUAGGGGGUUUCCGCCCCUUAGUGCUGCAGCUAACGCAUUAAGCACUCCGCCUGGGGAGUACGACCGCAAGGUUGAAACUCAUAGGAAUUGACGGGGACCCGCACAAGCGGUGGAGCAUGUGGUUUAAUUCGAAGCAACGCGAAGAACCUUACCAAAUCUUGACAUCCUUUGAAAACUCUAGAGAUAGAGCCUUCCCCUUCGGGGGACAAAGUGAACAGGUGGUGCAUGGUUGUCGUCACCUCCUGUCCUGAAAAUGUUGGGUUAAGUCCCG